AUCGCCAAGAUGUCCAGUACAUUGUUAAAAAUGGGAAAGCUCUUAUAAUAAACGAGUUGACGGGGAGAGUGGAAGAAAAAAGACGAUGGUCAGAGGGGAUUCACCUGGCUGUGGAGGCAAAAGAAGGGUUACCAAUCCAGGCUGAUUCAGUUGUAGUGGCACAAAUCAUAUACCAAUUAAUGUUUAAGCUUUAUCCAAAGCUUUCAGGGAUGACAGGAACUGCAAAA